rnacentral:rRNA from 1 species
UACGUAGGGCGCAAGCGUUGUCCGGAAUUAUUGGGCGUAAAGAGCUCGUAGGCGGUCUGUUGCGUCCGCUGUGAAAACCCGGGGCUUAACCCUGGGCUGGCAGUGGAUACGGACAGACUAGAGGUAGGUAGGGGAGAAUGGAAUUCCCGGUGUAGCGGUGAAAUGCGCAGAUAUCGGGAGGAACACCGGUGGCGAAGGCGGUUCUCUGGGCCUUACCUGACGCUGAGGAGCGAAAGCUAGGGGAGCAAACAGG